AAGAUUUUAAGUUAUAAAACUAUUUACCUUCAAAGUAAAAAUUACUUUUAAGUAAAUCUUA
rnacentral:tRNA from 1 species